rnacentral:tRNA from 1 species
CACUAAGAAGCUGUACCAGCAUUAACCUUUUAAGUUAAAGACUGAGAGCAUCAAACUCUCCUUAGUGG